UUAGUUGAAGACGCAAUAUUAGACAAUCCAUGUCUUUGUGAUAAUAUAAGGAGGCUGGACGGCACUUUUUGAUAUACUGUUAAGUGUUUUUCAACUUUACAAUAGCAAUGUCAAAUUGUAGAUUAAAUAACAUUUACGUGAAAGUACAAGAGGACAUUGAAGGACGUAGUGCAAGUGCCGGAAAGGUUCACCCCUUAUGCAUUCAUUCAACAUUUACGCCCCAACCACGUCAUAGCAUGAUCAGCGAUGUGAUGUUGUUUGAACUAUGACAGUCGCUAUGGUGAGCUGGGGGAGACCGUGGAUGUUUGUCUUAUGAGCUGAUGAUGAAGUUCGAUGAAGAACCGAGACCAUAAAUGUCCAGAGACAAGAACAGCUGCCACAGACCAUGGGAGUUUUCUGUGUGGAUAUGAGAGGAUGACGAGGGAAUGUGAUCAAGAGCUGAGACCAUGAGAUAUACAGGCCCUACAUCAUACUAGCCCAUUUUGCUGCAUUUGUCUACGAAGUUUUUUUUUUGUUUGUUUGUUUGUUCAUGAAUUACAAUUCUUUUUGGAUACACGUUCCAUGCAAUUUAAUGUACGGAUAUAUGUAUUUAUUUGCACUAAAGUUGUCAACUUGUAAGACAUAUUCUCUAAGUUGAGUAUAAAUGUACUCAUUCCAACAGGAAAUGCAUGUAAUUUCUCCAGAUUUUGCAUUAAGAUUUUUUUUUUUUGUAUAUAGAAUAUAAUUUUUAAUGAAAGUAAUUUUUUUUUUAACUUCAAUGAUUCAAGUAGCUGAUAUUUUACCCCACAGAGUGUAAGUCUGUCUAUUUUGCCAGAAAUAUUGUUUCAAAAUUUGGACAAGUUGACUGCUAGACUGCAGCACUCUCACAUAGUUCUUGCCUGUCCUGAUAUCCUAUGUUCCUACAAUGUCCAUUGUUAUACUUUUCACAGAAACCUGGAAGGUGUUCACUCAGAUGCUGUGCUGGGAUGUCAGAAGACUGCUGUAGUUCCAGUUGCAGGUAAGGAUUAAAGAUUAUCUGCAUCAUCCACAGUUGUGCACAACAAUCUUCAGAUGCAAAAUAUGCAGCUGUAGCUGUAUCUGAUGUAACGAGGCAGAGUGGGGUAGAUAUCGUAGGAGUUUUCUAAUUUUGAAUCCUGGAGCCCACCUAAAUUGUUACAUCGUGGCACCCCUAUUACAAAGAGCUAUCAGUCAAUGUCUUUUUAUUGUGAGAUUAAUAUGAAGCAAAUACUCUAUAGGUAAAUUGCAAGAGACAUUAGAUAAUCCAUUAGGAAGUACAAGUAGUAACCACUGUGUUGUAAAGAGUCUAACAUAUAUUCUGUGACAUAAAGCAGUUAAUUUUUGAAGUAAGAAAGUGAGCCCUCCAAUUCCAUGAGAGAGUUGUCAUGGCACAGUAAAACUGUGUUAGUGCCUACAGGAGACAAUAAUAUGUUUAAGGCAGCAGUGUAUUAGUCCUUUUUACUCAUUUAACAAGAAAUUAACCACAUAUAUAGCGUGUUACACUGAGUGCCAUGGGAUGUAUGUAUUUCAGUCUUUAUCUAUGUAAAAUCCCUUUGACUACUGUGCUAUAUUCUGAGGCAAGGUAAAGUGGUCUUCAGUCUCCGCAUUUUUGCAACAUCCUGACAGAGCAGUCACUUAAUGUCUUACUAACACAUGUACACUCCCCUCCCCACAGUAAUAAAUCACAGAUUUUGUAUGGUAAAUGAAGUUAACCACUUGUAUGGAUAUGUACAUGAGUUUUGAAUGUAAUGUGAAAAGUAAAGCUAUCCCUGUAACAGACCCUGAAGGCCCAUAGGGUUGAGAUGAGGAUCCCACAUUUUCCAGACA